AGUCACCUUUCCACAACAUUUGGUGCCGAAACCCUGGAAUUAGUAGCCUGAGACCAGCGUGGAAAGGUUUUCGCCAUGCCUAACUGCAGUAAUGUCCUUGAUCGGAUCAAGGUCAAACGAUCAGCAAGAUGCACAAAAGCCACCACGAUAGUUAACGAAGCCACUGCCGCGAUUCGAGGCGCAAACGUAACAGCAGAGGCACUCAAUGUUUUCCUGGAGAAGCUGGUCAUCUGCAGCAAGGAGCUCCGAUCGCUUGAUCGACAAACGCCUGCGAAAACUUCGAGGCUGAGUACGCGUCAGUGCUGCAUUACGAACAGGGUAACAGCAGUCAUUGCGAAUUUGCACCUCAACUUUGAACGACUGCGGACUACGCAACCCUCCACUUCCACGGCAGCUACUGCUGUGUCUUCUCCGGCAUCUUCGAUGCCGAAUAAUACCUCUGGGGUCAAACUGCAGCGUCGUCAACUACCUGAGUUUUGAGGAGGCCUCACGGAAUGGCAGCCCUUCUGGGAGCAGUACAAGCCAAAUGUACACGACAAUCACAAAGUGAGGUCAUCUACAGACACAGUACGUCUACGAAGACUGCAGGCAGAAUCGGCGUUGUUGUGGAGGGUCGCACUGCCUGACUGGCCGGACGGAUCCCUGCUUCUACCUUCUUCAUCACCCCUCCUUCUCGGCGAACUGAAACACCGGUGUCUACUGCAUGCAGGUAUGUGCGAUACUUUGACUGACCUACGGGAAGACUACGGGAACACGGGAAGACGUGGAUCGUUCAGGGACGCUAGGCUGUGAAAAAGAUCAUCUUGGCGGUGGCAAUUUGUUGAAACAAAAGGUACAAGGCUACGACGGAGACGGUAGCUCCGAUUCCUCCUGAACA